AGUUGUCCGAUUCGGGCCUUAAUUGGAUUUAUUGGCUCGCCGCAUGACAGAGUGGCAGUGGAAGAAAUAAUCAACGUCAGAAAUUGUAUUAUGAAAAUAAACAAAACUCAUUUUCAUAUGCAAAGAGUGUCCUUUCAGUUGCCCGCCCUUGCUGGCUCCCGGCUCCCGUCUCCCCUUUCGGAACCUGCGCCACUGGGGCUUGUGCUCGUGUUUGUCUUCUCUGUCCCCAUUCGCAAAAACAAGAAAACAAAACAGAGCCCAGGGAACAGAAGCAGAAGCAGAAGCUGAAACCGUAUCUGAAGCUAGAACUGAAGCUGAAGCUGAACAGGCCAAGCAAGAAAAACAGAACCGAGCCGCGCCAGCUCAAAACGAACCGGAGCCGGAGCCCUCACCCAGAAAGCUUUUGAUUGUUUUCAAAAUUGCGAAAUCGAUGCCAGCCAUGGGCGGGGACAGGGGAUGGCCUGUCUCUGGAGCCCCCCCUUAUAUUUAUUUAAGCAAGACAAAUGGUCGGCACACGUCCUUCCGACCACUCGAAGCCACUUGCAGUUGAGAGUCGGGAGUGGAAUGGAUGGAGCAGGAAACUCAGAAAGGGAACUGCAGCCCCGGGAGUGUGUGGUGUGUGCUCCUUAGAGGCAAGUCAUAAAUGUCAGUGGCUCCUUAGGCCCAGGACGAGGCUGGAAGGAGGGCUGCCGAAAAUCCGCACACCAGCAGAGAGAGAAAAAGAGCAGGCCACAA